GCUUGUCUCAAAGAUUAAGCCAUGCAUGUCUAAGUAUAAACAACUUUGUACUGUGAAACUGCGAAUGGCUCAUUAUAUCAGUUAUAGUCUACUCGAUAGUACCUUACUACUUGGAUAACCGUAGUAAUUCUAGAGCUAAUACAUGCGUAAAUACCCAACUGCUUGUCGGACGGGUAGCAUUUAUUAGAUUGAAACCAAUGCAGCUUCGGCUGGUAUUGUGUUGAGUCAUAAUAACUGUGCGGAUCGCUUUUUAAGCGAUAAAUCGAUUGAGUUUCUGCCCUAUCAGCUUUGGAUGGUAGUGUAUCGGACUACCAUGGCUUUAACGGGUAACGGGGAAUUAGGGUUCGAUUCCGGAGAGGGAGCCUGAGAAACGGCUACCACAUCCAAGGAAGGCAGCAGG
rnacentral:rRNA from 1 species